UCAGCCAUGGUGGCAGCAGUGGCAGGUAGGAGAGGGUGCACCGGUCCGGCCCGGCUACCAUCCGCCGCCAUCCUUCGCCAUCCGCGGCCGGGCCCGCUCCCACGGACCGGGAGAGGAGCGGGGGCUUCCCGGGGCAGCGCGCGGCUCCGACUCCGACCAUGCGGAGGGACGUAGGAAGGUGCCUGGAACAGCGGAGGUUCCCACUCCAAUGCAGAGGGACGUAGGAAGGCACCGGGAACAGCAGAGGCAAACGAGCGGCUCCUGUGUGCCAGGACAGACAGGAGAAGACAGUGCGGGUCGGCCGUGCCCACCCACGUGGGUGUUUGUUUGUCUCUAACCAGUGAUUCUUGCCUGCUACCACGAUGCUAGGGCUGGAAAGAGGAGCUGGCGUGAAGCUGCUGUCGGCAACGCUUUUGCCACACAGCCGAAUCCUGCCAGUGGUGAAAAUCUAUUAGAUCACCUGGUUUUGGCACAACCACCGGGAAAACUGGAUGGCAACACUCCCGGAAAAGUCACCGUGUUCCUCGCUCGCUCGCUGGAUACCGGCACAGGGGUCCCCUCUCCGAUGAUCCUCACCUUGGCUUGUCCUCCCCAGAGCUCCCAGUUACCUGGGUUUAACUGGGGAUACUGAGAUGAGAAUGGGUG